rnacentral:rRNA from 1 species
AUUGAACGCUGGCGGCAGGCCUAACACAUGCAAGUCGAGCGAGCGGCGGACGGGUGAGUAAUGUCUGGGAAACUGCCUGAUGGAGGGGGAUAACUACUGGAAAAGGUAGCUAAUACCGCAUACCCUCAGAUAUGCACAGAUGGGAGUAGCUAGUAGGUGGGGUAAUGGCUCACCUAGGCGACGAUCCCUAGCUGGUCUGAGAGGAUGACCAGCAACACUGGAACUGAGCCACUGUCCAGACUCCUACGGCAGGCAGCAGUAGGGAAUAUUGCACAAGGGGCGCAAGCCUGAUGCAGCCAUGCCGCGUGUGUGAAGAAGGCCGUCGGGUUGUAAAGCACUUUCAGCGGGGAGGCGUUACCCGCAGAAGAAGCACCGGCUAACUCCGUGCCAGCAGCCGCGGUAAUAC